GAUGAAGAACGCAGCGAAAUGCGAUAAGUAAUGCGAAUUGCAGAAUUCAGUGAGUCAUCGAAUCUUUGAACGCACAUUGCGCCCCCUGGUAUUCCGGGGGGCAUGCCUGUCCGAGCGUCAUUACAACCCUCAAGCUCAGCUUGGUAUUGGGCCCCGCCGACCCGGCGGGCCCUAAAGUCAGUGGCGGUGCCGUCCGGCUCCGAGCGUAGUAAUUCUUCUCGCUCUGGAGGUCCGGUCGUGUGCUCGCCAGCAACCCCCAAUUUUUUUCAGGUUGACCUCGGAUCAGGUAGGGAUACCCGCUGAACUUAAGCAUAUCAAUAAGCGGAGGA
rnacentral:misc_RNA from 1 species